UACGGAGGGUGCAAGCGUUGUCCGGAUUUAUUGGGUUUAAAGGGUGCGUAGGUGGCCUUGUAAGUCCGUGGUGAAAGCCUCUCGCUUAACGAGAGAACUGCCAUGGAUACUGCAAGGCUUGAGUCCAGACGAGGUUGGCGGAAUGGAUGGUGUAGCGGUGAAAUGCGUAGAUAUUGGGAGGAACACCAGUGGCGAAGGCGGUCCCCUGGGCCGGAACUGACGCUGAGGCGCGAAAGCGUGGGUAGCAAACGGG
rnacentral:rRNA from 1 species